GCCCAAGUAGUUCAGUCGGUAGAGCACGAGACUCGUCAUCUCAGAGUUGUGGGUUUGAGCCCCAUGUUGGGCA